CUACCUCCUCCUCCUCCUCCACCGCCGCUUUCACCUACACCGCCACGAUCACCGCCUCCUCAACCUAUGGGUCACUUAGUAUAAACUAUGUACACAACAGCAGAGGCUUGUGAAGGCCUUUUCUCCAUGCAUCAGGAGUUGAGCUCAGUUUGAACAAUGAAAGAAUACCCUGCACUCCAACCCUCUCUCAAAUGGAUAAUUCUGGUGAUUCUCCUGACAGCCAUGCUUUAGAUUUUGAUUUAUGUUCUUCCAAAGCUAAAAUCAAAGAUUCCAUCUAGUGCUAUUUUAU